UUUACUUUCAUCGAAAUACUACGGAUUCAUAUUACAUUAAAAACAAUUGAUUGAUGAAAAAGAAUUAAAGAAUUGCACCAAAUGAUUAAUUGCCUAAACUACAAAAACUAAUUGAAUAUCUUAUGUGGCAAAACGUGGACAGGUAAUGCAAGGACGUCUUCUUUCUAGGACAUGCUGCAUUCCGGAGGUAGACCUUGGGGAAAUCUGUUGACAUCUUUGCAGUAAUUGUAUACCAUGUAAUUCUCCCGGACCCAUUUCAACCUCUCCUGCCUUGUUGAAUCAAGCUCCUCUGAGAACCAAGCAUUCGAGGUGGAGGCCGGAGGAGAAGUGGUUGUGCCACAGGAAGAUACCCCAUUAGACAAAACACAAGCUUCGGCAUUGAAAUUUCUAUAAGAAGCGGUGAAAGGAGCUAGGGCCCAAUCUGUCUUGACCAAGCCACCUCUUGUAGCCCAGUCAUCAGCAUUCCAUAGACUCGAGUAAAUCCUCAUCGGCUGGUUUUUCGGAAAGGGAACCCCCAUGGACUCCAGGUUCUUGAACUCUCGAAUUGGAGUGCCAUCCACAGAGAAGCUGGAGCAGAGAAAAAGAAAACAACAUUAGUAACACAGCAUGUAUUAACGUUGUACACGGAGCAGGAUUGAAGAUUGAUGCUUACACAAUGCGCUGUGGGUUCCAAAGAAUGGAAUAUGUGUGGAAAUCAGCAGUUGGAUCAAACCAAAGAUAGAACUGCUGCUCUCUGUUGCCCUUGCCUUGGCUAAACACAUUAGUGUGCAGGAUGUAAGGAUCACCGCUCAAAUUCCCCAGGAAUUCAAAAUCUAUCUCAUCCCACGCAGACCCUUUUGAUGACAGCUGCGAAUUCAUAUGACAAAAAACAUAUUUUCUGUUAGUCACAUAUAAUGAUUGUUUCGUGCCUUGUUUGAGGCAAACAAUCAAGUUCACUUACAUAAUAAGCAGUGACAGUGCCUGCAGAGUUGCCGGGGACAAGCUUGAGCUGCAUGUCAAUCUUUCCGAACAGAUACUCAUUCCUGGAUUGAAAUCCAGAGCCAGAGGCCUUGUCAAGGUUGAGAGUGAGGAGCUCGCCGUCGCUGAGGAUCUUAGCACGACCAUCUCCCCAGGUAAUAUCAAAAUCGUUGUAGAAGUUGCUUGCUGAUGCAACCGUCACAAGAAGAGCUACAAGGGGCACAAGCACGGUAUUCAAAGAAGCCAUCGGCUAUAAUGAAACGAUUGAUACCAAGGAUGAAAUACAAGUAAAGUUCUGGAAGCUCGGAGGUGGGAUUGUCAAGGACAUAGCCUGGUUGGUAUUUAUACUUGAGGAAAUGCAAGUCCAAGAAAGGCAUGCGAAGUUUCGGACGCUCUGCUUAGCUGUGGACAGUGUGUUUGGGGGCUGGACAAGUGUAAGAAAGUCGCUGUUGAAAAAGACUAAACAUUUCACUUACAUCGACGAGCCAGCCAACGAAUCAUCGCACGCGUUUUGGCCUUCGGCACCGACGGAUAGCUGCGCUUUUCCAUUAGAUCCAGCGUCACAAUCAGUACAGGGCUCCCACACCUGACCCAUAUUUGCAUAAAAUAAAUAAAUAAAUAUACAAAAAUUGAAUCCAACAGCACAGGUCGACUCUCUCUCCUAAUUAAUUAAGGAGAUGUCAUUUCUAUCCUUGAGUAUUUUAGAUGUUUAUACCAGCUGUCUUCAGUUUUUGUUUAUUACAUUUCUAAAAAAAAAAGGCUAUAUUAUUUUUUGUUGAAAUAUUAAUCGAUUGUGAGAAAAAACGUUGUCUUUAUAGUUCUUUUACAUUCAAAUACUUAUUCAUUCUUGUUUUAAACUUAUGCCACUGAUAUUUAUUUAUGCUAUUGGAUUGGUUGAGAGAGCAUAUAUGCUUUUUAGUUUUUUAUUGUUUUUUUAAUUUGUAAUUGUUAUUUGGAACAAGAAUAAGAAGCAAAUAAAGUAAUUUGACUGCUGCAAUUUUUAUUUUAAAUUAUUAAGAUGAAAUAAUCCAAAUAAAAUAUUUCAAGCCUUAAAUGAUUGCUUGGAAUAAAUUUUAUAGAGUCUUUGCUUCUAAGAUUACUACCGAGGAAAUGAAAAUUGCUUUUCAAUAUUAAAAUUGUUUGAUGCAUGGUAAAAAACUGAUUAAAAAAGAUUUUUUAAUUAAUUUACUGAUAAUCCCCUCAAUUUUCUUUAGUUUUAAGAGAUAUCAAAAUUAUUUACUUGAAUUGAAAUAAUAUUUAUUUUACCUCAAUAAUCAACAAAUUUAUAGGAAUAAAUAUAUAGACACUUGAACUAAGUUAAUGACAUAUUAAUUUAUCUUCAGAAUUUUAAUUCUUUAAUUUUGCAUUCAAUUCAUCCCAUACUUUUGAUUUCAAUAGGAAGACUUAGUAAAUCUUUUCUUGAAUUUGAUAUGGUAUUCACAAUCAUACUAUAAUUUUUUUUUUUUUUUGUGAUAGUAAAGUCAAAAUAAAAUUUUUGAGGUUUUUGACACCAGCCAUGUGGACACAUUUCAUAUAUAUAUAAUUCAUAAAAAACAAAGAAAAAUUGAAAAUUAAGAUUUUUGAGAUUCAUAAAAAUUGAAAAAUAAAGAAAUAUUGAUCUAGCAUAAAAAAUAAAAUAAAAUUUCAGAACUUGUAUUUGUUAAUAUUUAUUUUAAUGAAAAAAAUUAAAAAAAAUAAUUUCAAAAUAUAAAACCCACCAUUUAUAAAAAGAAAAGAAGAAAAAGGGGUUAAGAAUAUAGAUAGAAAAGAAAAUAGAAGUUACCCUUUAUUAAAAGUAAACAGAAAAAGGAAAAUGAAAAUAAAAUAAAUAGAUAGAGGCGACUUAAAGUAUUAAUAUUUUCCUCUUUUAUGAAAAAUUAAUAUUUAAAACACUCCACUUUAUCUAAAGGAUUAUCUAUCUUCCCAUUCCAUUUUCAAUCAAAUAUUUUGUCUUAAAAUUCAUUGAGAACUCUUAGCAUUCUGAUUUUGAUUUAUUCUUGAAUUUAUCAGUUUGUUUUUAUUUUCUUUUAAAAGAUUUUGAUCAUAACAUUCUAUUAUUAUUACAGUCCUCAUUAAUGAAAAAAAAAUGAUGGAAUGAUGAUGAAUGAACUGCAUCAAGAAUAUUUCUCAAGUUAAGGGACCUAAUCAACUAAAAAAGAGAGAGAGAAAGGACACAUUAGUAUAUGAUUAAUCCAUAGCCCAAUUCUAGAUCAUUGAUAAAAUCAUUAAGCUAUUUAUCCUCAAUAAAUUCAUCCUACCAAUGUUCAACAUUUUAUUAUUCCCAACCAAGUAUCAAUAAUAGUGAUGUUUUUUUUCUUGAUAUUGCCCACGUAUCUGGAAAAAACAACUUAACUUAACGCCAAUUAAACACAACAUUAAAGGAAGAAAAAGGUUAAAAUAAAAUAAAAUUAUAGAAUAUUAUUACAAUCCAUAGUGUUUUUUUUUCUUUUUUAUUUUUAUUUUUUAAUUUAAUUUUAAUUGUAAUUGUUAGAAAAUGAGGUUUUGGUAUCAUAAUAGAAAUUGUUUUUUACUUGUUUUAUUGGUUUCUUGGGAAUUUUUUAUUUAAAAACAUGGUUUGUGCAUCACAUUUGAGUGAGGUCCACUAACUUUUUGGGUUAAAGCUUUGUUGGAAUUUAAUCUCUAAAUUUUUUAAUUUGAAACAUUAAAAUGAUUUAAACAAAUUAUGAGGAAAAAAAAAUUGAUAUCAAAUAACCAUUAAUUGAUAUAGUUUGGUGAAAUCCAAAAACUCUUUAAAAGAAUUCUAUCCCAUGUAAAAAAGAAAACAAAUUUUUUUUAAUGUUUAUAAAGCGAAAAGUUAAAGUUGAACAAAAAAAAGUAUCUAAAAUUUUAUAUGAGAGGGGUCAUAAUUAAAGUGAGUUUUGGGCUCAAACCCCACUCAUCUACACUUAUUUUAGGUUGAGCCUAAACCUAUGUUUGAAUUUAUUGUAAAAUAAUAUUUUGGAUCAUGAAAGAUUACUUUUUAUUAUUUAAAAUUUGAAAUUAGACUUGGUCCAUGAAUAAUUAUUUCUUUUUGCCCAUUGUUUUGUCAAUCCCUUGAAUGGAAAUAAUUGAUUAAUUUUUUUAUAACAAUUUUUCAGAAUUGGUAUAAAUCUUUUAGCUAAAAAAAAACCUGGUUUAAAUUAAAAAAACAUUUAGGUUUGAUUUUGGUUUAUUAUUGGUAAUAAAAAUUGUUAAUGAAGUAAGUUUAUCAAUUUUUAGUUUCUAAAAUUCUAUAUAAAAAAGGGGUUGAGGAAAAGUAUUUAAGGUUGAUUAAUUCUGUAUUGUUUAUAUAAAUUUAAAGGUCUUUUUUACCUUAUUUUCUAGCAUUAAUUACUGGUUUUAAACCUUUGUUUUUCCCUUCUAAAUUUUCUUCUAAUCCAGAGCUUAGGAGAAAACCAGGAAUACCUUUUACUUUCAUCGAAAUACUGCGGAUUCUUAUUACAUUAAAAACAAUUGAUUGGUGAAAAAGAAUUAAAGAAUUGCACCAAAUGAUUAAUUACAAAAACUAAUUGAAUAUCAUAUGUGGCAAAACUCGGACAGGUAAUGCAAGGACGUCUUUCUAGGACAUGCUGCAUUCCGGAGGUAGACCUUGGGGAAAUCUAUUGACAUCAUUGCAGUAAUUGUAAACCAUGUAAUUCUCCCGGACCCAUUUCAACCUCUCCUGCCUCGUUGAAUCAAGCUCCUCUGAGAACCAAGCAUUCGAGGUGGAGGCGGGAGGAGAAGUGGUUGUGCCACAGGAAGAUACCCCAUUAGACAAAACACAAGCUUCGGCAUUGAAAUUUCUAUAAGAAGCGGUGAAAGGAGCUAAGGCCCAAUCUGUCUUGACCAAGCCACCUCUUGUAGCCCAGUCA
rnacentral:lncRNA from 1 species